ACAUGCUUACAACAUAGUGUUAAUGCAUCAAAUCGCAUUAAAACUCCGUAGUUAAGUGCACUUGGGCUAGAAUAGUACUAGGAUGGGUGAUCGCCCACAAAGUCUUAGUAUUUUACAUGCC
rnacentral:rRNA from 1 species